AUUUCACUGGAGGAGAGAGAAGAGACAGCUAAGACGCCUUCGCUGUUGGAAUGUGUCAGCACGCAUGCGCUGGAGCCUCACGGGCUGUUUUCUCGUAGAGCCGCACACUUUGAGAGGAAUGUCUUUAUUUAAGCUGUGACCUGGCCAAGCCACCAAGAUCAAGCCCUGCAGUUUGGCUGGCGUGCUGGGGCUGUCAUGUGAUAUCCGUUGACUCAGAGACUGUUGGGCAAUCAAUAGCUGCUAAAUCAGUCCUGCUGAAUGAAACUCCAGUGUAAAGCUACUGACAUCAACACUCAAGUGACAUCCCCCCGGGGUAGUGAUGCUCCACCAUGAUGGUCACACACCAGCGCAGCAGAAAAGAUUUUGCCAC
rnacentral:lncRNA from 1 species